UGAGUUGAAGCUAAGACCACAAACAUAUUCUUCGUCAUCUCAUUUUCUUUGCCGCUUCUCAGCUUGCAUCUACACAUGAUUUCCUGUAUCUUUCUUCACUAUUUUGUUUCCUUUUCAGGUUUAUCACGUUCCUCUGCGUGCAAAAAGCUUUGGACUUCAUCAAAAAAAAUGAAAAGAGAUAAUAGACAGAAACAAUGUUUCAUUUUGUUCGAGUGAAGUUCCUUGCUAUUAUGUUGAUGACAUAAUCAAAUUUUAAGUUGUUGUGAUUAGUCAAAGAAAGAGAAUAAAUCAACUAAUAGCUGAUUAUCAAUGUGUAUUAUCGACGCGGUUUUGGAGGUAUAGGGAAGAAAGAUAGAAAUUUGAUGUGAUGUGAUAGAAAAUGUUGGCGUUGGAGUCCUUCUAAAUUCUCCCGCAGUCUGUGGGAUUUGCACAGCCUGUUCUCUUUGAAUUUUGCUGGCAGACCAUUCACUAUCUCCUCAUCAUUACCCUUCUCAUGAAAAGGAUAUAUAUAUAUCUUGCUCCAUUUUCUAUCAUUUACCCUUCCUAACACAAAGUAAUAUAUAAAAUCAAUCCCUUUUUUCUCAAAAAAUAAAAUAAAAUUCCAGCAAUGAUAAAAAUAGCUUGUGUAACUGAACUGAGUACAUCCUGAAGAGCUAAAACCUCUGC
rnacentral:lncRNA from 1 species